rnacentral:rRNA from 1 species
UACGUAGGGCGCAAGCGUUAUCCGGAAUUAUUGGCGUAAAGAGCUCGUAGGCGGUUUGUCGCGUCUGCCGUGAAAGUCCGGGGCUCAACUCCGGAUCUGCGGUGGGUACGGGCAGACUAGAGUGAUGUAGGGGGAGACUGGAAUUCCUGGUGUAGCGGUGAAAUGCGCAGAUAUCAGGAGGAACACCGGUGGCGAAGGCGGGGUCUCUGGGCCGUAACUGACGCUGAGGAGCGAAAGCAUGGGGAGCGAACAGG